GGCAGCAGAACCAAGAGCCCACGGAACAGACUGGAAGCUGGGGUCAGAGAGAACCUAGGCCAACAACAGUCACAUAGAAGACCCAGCUGGCCUUCCUUCCAGCCCAAGCAGGAAAAACCUGGAAAAGAAGUGAAGGUUCUGACUCCAUGCAAGGGCAAGCUAAAGAGGCUUCUGAACGGGGGCUGGAGAUACCAAAGAGCAAGUAAGCCUCUUGUAUCCAACUAGUGAUGCAUUCUGCAGUCAAGAAAGUUAACUCAGAAAAGGAAAUCCAGUGAGAUGGUUCAGUAGGUAAAUAAAAGCACUUGCUGUUAAGCCUGACCUUCAUUCCAAUCCGUGGGACCCACAAGAUAGAAGACUCCCAACAACUUAAUCUCUGACCACCCCCAACCCCAACUCCACUGUGGCACCUGCGCUUCUCACGAUAAAUAAAGGUAAAAAUAAAUAAAAAAAAGAUUUUGUUUGGA
rnacentral:lncRNA from 1 species